UAUCUCUGUAGAGUCUGCAUAUCAAUAAGCGGAGGAAAAGAAACUAACAAGGAUUCCCUUAGUAACGGCGAGUGAAGCGGGAAGAGCUCAAAUUUGAAAUCUUCAAGGUUCUACCUUGACGAAUUGUAGUUUAAAGAAGUGUUUUCUGUUAGAUGAGUAGCAAAAGUUCCUUGGAAUGGGACAUCAUAGAGGGUGAGAAUUCCGUAUUUGGUUAUUCAUUCUAGCUUUGUGAUACACUUUCAAAGAGUCGGAUUGUUUGGGAAUGCAGUCCAAAAUGGGUGGUAAAUUUCAUCUAAAGCUAAAUAUUGGCGAUGAGACCGAUAGCGAACAAGUACCGUGAGGGAAAGAUGAAAAGAACUUUGAAAAGAGAGUUAGACAGUACGUGAAAUUGUCAAAAGGGAAGCGUUUGACACCAGUGUUGUUUUUCCGAAAAUCAAUUACGAAUGGCUUGAUUUUGUGUUGUAUUGACCUUAUCAGCUUUCUUCACUUUUUUCGAGUCUUUCUUAAUGCACUUUUCGGUUAACAAGUCAACAUCAAUUUCUUUUGUUGUAAAAGAGUAUUCGGAAGGUGGCUUUCUUUUCGGAGAAAGUGUUUAUAGCCCUAUACUUCUACAAUCGGAGAGAUUGAGGUCUGCAGCGUAGAUCCUUCGGGGUUAGAUACACUUUGUGCUAAGUUGUAGCUUUUCAUAGACAACUUGUUGACUAUGUUUAGUCAUGCGGCUUACUCGCUUAUGCUAUUUUACCUACGCUUAGGAUGUUGACUGAUAUGUAGUCGUA
rnacentral:rRNA from 1 species